rnacentral:rRNA from 1 species
AACGAACGCUGGCGGCAUGCCUAACACAUGCAAGUCGAACGAGACCUUCGGGUCUAGUGGCGCACGGGUGCGUAACGCGUGGGAACCUGCCCUUAGGUUCGGAAUAACUCCCCGAAAGGGGUGCUAAUACCGGAUAAUGUCUUCGGACCAAAGAUUUAUCGCCUUUGGAUGGGCCCGCGUUGGAUUAGCUAGUUGGUAGGGUAAAAGCCUACCAAGGCGACGAUCCAUAGCUGGUCUGAGAGGAUGAUCAGCCACACUGGGACUGAGACACGGCCCAGACCCGUAGGGGAGGCAGCAGGGGGGAAUAUUGGAAAAGGGGCGAAAGCCUGACCCAGCACUGCCGGGGGAGUAAGGAAGGCCUUGGGGUUGUAAAGCUUUUUUCCCCGGGAGGAUAAUGACAGUACGGGGAAAAUAAGCCCCGGCUAACUCCGUG